rnacentral:rRNA from 1 species
UCAGAGGCGAUGAAGGGCGUGCUAAUCUGCGAUAAGCGCCGGUAAGGUGAUAUGAACCGUUAUAACCGGCGAUACCCGAAUGGGGAAACCCAGUGUGACUCGUCACACUAUCAUUAACUGAAUCCAUAGGUUAAUGAGGCGAACCGGGGGAACUGAAACAUCUAAGUACCCCGAGGAAAAGAAAUCAACCGAGAUUCCCCCAGUAGCGGCGAGCGAACGGGGAGGAGCCCAGAGCCUGAAUCAGCAUGUGUGUUAGUGGAAGCGUCUGGAAAGGCGCGCGAUACAGGGUGACAGCCCCGUACACAAAAGCGCAUGUGCUGUGAGCUCGAUGAGUAGGGCGGGACACGUGGUAUCCUGUCUGAAUAUGGGGGGACCAUCCUCCAAGGCUAAAUACUCCUGACUGACCGAUAGUGAACCAGUACCGUGAGGGAAAGGCGAAAAGAACCCCGGCGAGGGGAGUGAAAAAGAACCUGAAACCGUGUACGUACAAGCAGUGGGAGCACCCUUUGGGUGUGACUGCGUACCUUUUGUAUAAUGGGUCAGCGACUUAUAUUCUGUAGCAAGGUUAACCGAAUAGGGGAGCCGGAGGGAAACCGAGUCUUAACCGGGCGUUAAGUUGCAGGGUAUAGACCCGAAACCCGGUGAUCUAGCCAUGGGCAGGUUGAAGGUUGGGUAACACUAACUGGAGGACCGAACCGACUAAUGUUGAAAAAUUAGCGGAUGACCUGUGGCUGGGGGUGAAAGGCCAAUCAAACCGGGAGAUAGCUGGUUCUCCCCGAAAGCUAUUUAGGUAGCGCCUCGUGAAUUCAUCUCCGGGGGUAGAGCACUGUUUCGGCUAGGGGGCCAUCCCGGCUUACCAACCCGAUGCAAACUGCGAAUACCGGAGAAUGUUAUCACGGGAGACACACGGCGGGUGCUAACGUCCGUCGUGAAGAGGGAAACAACCCAGACCGCCAGCUAAGGUCCCAAAGUCAUGGUUAAGUGGGAAACGAUGUGGGAAGGCCCAGACAGCCAGGAUGUUGGCUUAGAAGCAGCCAUCAUUUAAAGAAAGCGUAAUAGCUCACUGGUCGAGUCGGCCUGCGCGGAAGAUGUAACGGGGCUAAACCAUGCACCGAAGCUGCGGCAGCGACACUGUGUGUUGUUGGGUA